AUGGUGCUGGCGCACACGUCCAAGGUGGUGCUGGGAUGCGUGGCGUUCGGCAUCUUCUGGGUGCUGGCGGUGUUCCCCAGCGUGCCCUUCAUGCCGGUGGGCCGCACCGCCGGCUCGCUGCUGGGCGCCAUGCUCAUGGUGCUCUUCCGCGUGAUCUCCCCGGAGGACGCGUACGCGGCCAUCGACCUCCCCAUCAUCGGCCUCCUCUUCGGCACCAUGGUGGUGUCCAUCUUCCUGGAGCGCGCCGACAUGUUCAAGUACCUCGGCAACCUGCUCCAGUGGAAGAGCCGCGGCCCCAAGGACCUGCUCUUCCGCGUCUGCAUCGUCUCCGCCAUCGCCUCCGCGCUCUUCACCAACGACACCUGCUGCGUCGUCCUCACCGAGUUCAUCCUCAAGGUCGCGCGCCAGAACAACCUCCCGCCCCAGCCGUUUCUCCUCGCCCUCGCCACCAGCUCCAACAUCGGCUCCGCCGCAACGCCCAUCGGCAACCCGCAGAACCUCGUCAUCGCCGUCGAGAGCGGCAUCUCCUUCGGCCAGUUCCUCCUCGGCGUCUUCCCGGCCAUGAUCGUCGGCGUGCUCACCAACGCCGCCAUCCUCCUCUGCUACUUCUGGCGGUACCUCGCCGUCGAGCCGGCCGACCAGGAGCGCGGCGGCGUCGUCUCCACGGGGCCCGAGCUCGUCGGCGACGACGAGGUCACCUCGCACCGCUUCACGCCCGCCAGGAUGUCGCACGUCUCCUCGCUCAACCCGGACGACUUCGACUGCGUCAGCGAGCCCAUCAUCCGGAGCGCCAGCGUCAACGGCGACCUGCGCAGCAGGAGCGUCAACUCCAACUCCAACGCCGCCGCCGACGCCGACAUGCAGUUCUCCAUCAGGUCCCUCCGCUCCUCCAGCAUGUCGCACGAGAUGGUGGAGGUCUCCACCGUCCCCGUCCUCGACGGCGCCUCCUCCAGGAAGUUCACCAGGACCGCCAGCCAGCAGAGGAGCGUCAUCAUCGAGGACGCGCCGCCGUCGUCGCCCACGGACGACGAGGCCGCCGCCAACGGCGACAAGGACAAGGGGGAGCUUCCCGAGGUGGUGGAGAAGAGGUGGAAGGUGCUGGUGUGGAAGACGGCCGUGUACCUCAUCACCCUCGGCAUGCUCAUCGCCCUCCUCAUGGGCCUCAACAUGUCCUGGACCGCCAUCACCGCCGCUCUCGUCCUCCUCGCGCUCGAUUUCACCGACGCACAGGCCUGCCUCGAGAAGGUGUCCUACUCGCUGCUCAUCUUCUUCUGCGGGAUGUUCAUCACCGUGGACGGGUUCAACAAGACCGGCAUACCCAACACCAUGUGGGAGCUGGUGGAGCCCUACUCGCGGAUCGACAGCGCCAGAGGCGUCGCGCUCCUCGGCCUCGUCAUCCUCAUCCUCUCAAACGUCGCAUCAAAUGUUCCCACAGUUCUGCUGCUGGGGACGAGGGUGGCCGCGUCGGCCGCGGCGAUCUCACCGGCGUCGGAGAGGAAGGCAUGGCUGAUACUGGCGUACGUGAGCACGGUGGCCGGGAACCUGACGCUGCUGGGGUCGGCGGCGAACCUGAUUGUGUGCGAGCAGGCGAGGCGCGCGCAGUUCUUCGGCUACAACCUGUCCUUCUGGAGCCACCUCCGGUUCGGGGUGCCGUCCACCAUCGUCGUCACCGCCAUCGGCCUCCUCAUCGUCAGCAGCUACUGA
rnacentral:rRNA from 1 species